GAUGAACGCUAGCUACAGGCUUAACACAUGCAAGUCGCGGGACCGGCGCACGGGUGAGUCACGCGUAUCCAACCUGCCCUUCACCACGGGAUAACCAGGCGAAAGUCGGACUAAUACCGUAUGGUGAAGGAUGGGGUGUCUUCGGAUUAGCUUGCCGGCGGGGGAACGGCCCACCGUGGCUACGAUCGGUGGGGGUUCUGAUAGGGAGGUCCCCCACACUGGAACUGAGACACGGUCCAGCUUCCUACGGGAGGCAGCGGUGAGGAAUAUUGGUCAAUGGGCGUAAGCCUGAACCAGCCAAGUAGCGUGCAGGACGACGGCCUAUGGUUUGUAAACUGCUUUUAUGCGGGGAUAGGUACCGCAUGAAUAAGGACCGGCUAAUUCCGUGCCAGCAGCCACGGUAAUAC
rnacentral:rRNA from 1 species